AUUGAUAAAUGAUCUAGGUUUAUGGAGUUCAACAGAGUAGGGGAGGGGGAUAACAACAAGUGGAUCCUGGUGGUGAAGGAUAUGACAAAAUUUGAUGUUGCACAAAAAAAAAAACAAAAUUUGAUAUAUAAGUAAUGAUUGAAAUUAUUAGCAAGAUGGAAAAUUGAAAAAGCUAGUCAUUUGACUGUGACAUAAUUUUCCUCAAAGAUGUUUUCAUUAUUUUCAUCUAUCGAUGCAGAG
rnacentral:lncRNA from 1 species